rnacentral:rRNA from 1 species
GAUUAACGCUGGCGGCGUGCAUAACACAUGCAAGUCGAACGAUGAAACUUAAAUGAAUUCUUCGGAAUGAUUUUAAUUGGAUUAGUGGCGAACGGGUGAGUAACGCGUGAGUAACCUGCCUUACACAAGGGGAUAGCCUGUGGAAACGGAGAAUAAUACCCUAUGAAACUAUCUUAUCGCAUGAAAAGAUAGUCAAAGUGUUUUAGCGGUGUAAGAUGGACUUGCGUCUGAUUAGCUAGUUGGUGAGAUAACAGCCCACCAAGGCAACGAUCAGUAGCCGGCUUGAGAGAGUGUACGGCCACAUUGGGACUGAGGCACGGCCCAGACUCCUACGGGAGGCAGCAGUGGGGAAUUUGGCACAAUGGGGGCAACCCUGAUGCAGCGACGCCGCGGGAUUUAGAAGGCCUUCGGGUUGUAAAAAUCUUUUGUGUAGGAAGAAAAUGACAGUACUAUACGAAUAAGGUCCGGCUAAUUACGUG